rnacentral:rRNA from 1 species
GAUGAACGCUGGCGGCGUGCCUAAUACAUGCAAGUCGAGCGAACAGACGAGGAGCUUGCUCCUCUGACGUUAGCGGCGGACGGGUGAGUAACACGUGGAUAACCUACCUAUAAGACUGGGAUAACUUCGGGAAACCGGAUCUAAUACCGGAUAAUAUAUUGAACCGCAUGGUUCAAUAGUGAAUGACGGUUUUGCUGUCACUUUUAGAUGGAUCCGCGCCGCAUUAGCUAGUUGGUAAGGUAACGGCUUACCAAGGCAACGAUGCGUAGCCGACCUGAGAGGGUGAUCGGCCACACUGGAACUGAGACACGGUCCAGACUCCUACGGGAGGCAGCAGUAGGGAAUAUUGCGCAAUGGGCGAAAGCCUGACGGAGCAACGCCGCGUGAGUGAAGAAGGUCUUCGGAUCGUAAAACUCUGUUAUUAGGGAAGAAAAAAAGUGGAAGUAACUAUGCACGUCUUGACGGUACCUAAUGAGAAAGCCACGGCUAACUACGUG